GCCAGAGUGGUGUAGUGGUUUGAAUGCCGAACUAUGACUCUGGAGACCAAGGUUCGAAUCCCCGCUCAGCCC